rnacentral:tRNA from 2 species
GCCACCUUAGCUCAGGGGUAGAGCAACGCACUCGUAAUGCGUAGGUCGUCAGUUCAAAUCUGACAGGUGGCU